AAGCAGAUGCAGAGGCUCACAGCCAAAGGCUAGAUGGAACUCGAGAAAUGCUACUAAAGAAGGGAAGGAAGGAAGGAAGGUAGGAGCCAGAGGAGUCAAGAACACUACAAGAACAUGGCCCACAGAAUCAACUAAGCAGGGCUCGCAGGGCCUCACAGAGACUGGCAUUACAAUCACAGACGCAACAUGCAUCCAGGAUUUAGGGUCCGGUUCAUAUGCGGAAGAAACUAGUGACACUGGACUCUGUGGUGCCUGUAAUGAUGAACAGGAGCGUGGUGUGGAGCAAAGGCACGGCGAGAACCCAGCGAGAACUCUGCUGGCACAGCAGCUCGACCGUGGACUGUGCGUGAAGAAGCUUUGGAGUUUCAUGAGGUCCCAUUU